rnacentral:lncRNA from 10 species
GAAUUUUCUGCCAAAAGUUCUUGCCACUGAGUCAUCACCAUCUUCAUAUUUUUAAAAAACAUGAGCAAGUCUCAGCAGCACUUCAUUCACAUUAGUAAACAUUACCUAGGGAAAGAAAGAACAGGCCUCAAGAACAUGACAUCAUCAUUAAAAAAUAAAUGUUUACUGAGUCCCUAUUCAGUGUGUGGCCCUGUGUUAGCCCUAGAAAUAUAAAAAUGUGCCUGCUUUUAGGCUCACAUGCACACACAUAUACUCCCAUGUGUUAAAUCUAGAGAAGUGGUGCAGACUAGAAGGAUUAUCGGAAUUCCAAGGAGGGAGCAAUUCUGCUCCAAGGGCUGGGGUGGUCACAAAAGUGUUAUUUGGGAGGACAGCAAGAAGAAGAUAGCUGGCAAGAUUACGUCCUACUGGAGAUGAAAAGGACCCUAAGAAAUGGCAUGUCAAGGCCAUACAGACAAGAGAAGACAAACAUUCAGCCUAGAUAUGGAGAGGCAGCUGAAUAUUUACAUUACCCAACAGAGCAAAGAUCCCUAUACCCAACUUCCUAACUCAACAUCUAGACUUGAAUGUCUCAUGGGUACAAACAUGCCUGAAGCUGAACUCAUCCUCCUUCUUUGAUCUCAGAAGAUAGCACCGCCAUCAACCCAGCUGCCCAAGGGAAAAUUCUGGGAGUCAACCUCUAUUCCUUCUUUCUCCCACUUCACAUUCAGUCAGUCAUCAAGUCCUGCCAAUUAAAUCUCCUAAAAAUUUUUGAAAUCCAUUCACUUCUCUCCAUCCUCAUUGCAACUGCCAUUCUUACUUCAGGCCCCCAAGUUCAGACCAACUUACUGAACUCACUGCCUCUGAUCUUGCCACCCUGUCUCAUCUCCAGUUCAGUUGGUCACAUUGCAAAAGAAUGCCAUUGAUUUUUUUCCAUACAGAUCUGAUCUUAUCACCUUUGUUUAAAACACUUCAAAGACCUUCAAGAAAAAAAUUAAACUCUUUAACAUGAUUUUCAAGGCCCUUCAUAAUCAGAUCUUGCUUUGACAGUGCUGUGUAAUGAUUAGACUUGAGCAAGACUGGCUGGGUUCAAAUCUCAGCUUUAACACUUUUAGUAGCUGUGUAACUUUGAGCAAGUUAACCUCCCUGUACUUGAGUUUUCUCAGCUAUAAAACGGAGUAAUUACAAUGCCUACCUUCCAGGGUUAUUGUUUUUUUUUUGUUUGUUUUUUUCUUUACAGCGUCUCACUCUGUCACCCAGGCUGGAGUGCAGCGACUCACUCUCGGCUCACUGCAACCUCUGCCUACCAGGUUCAAGCGAUUC